CUUCUCCAGCUGCCUUUGACUUCGUGUGUUGUUACGCUUGGCUCAUUUCCAGGGCUCAGGAAUCUUCUGAAAUAACAGAAGUUUCUCCCCACACUCAGCACUGAGAUCCACUUACUUUUCAGGGAGGAGGCCUCUACGCUCGUUAAACAGCGUCGAAUGAACGUGAAAGCCGAGGUGGAAGAGCUCAGAACAGGAAGAAAUUACUUCCAAUGAAGACGCCAGCAAGGCUUUCCAGAGAAGACGGAAUUUGGGCUGAAUCUUGGUGGAGCACUUGGACUUGAAAUAACAGAAGCAAAAAGCCAGGAAGGACAUUGAGAGGUCUGAGCUAUGUGACCCAGAUUCUCUAUUACAGUUAAACAAGUUGCUUUCUAUAUUGUGGAGCAGGAUUAUACAAAAUUCACUGAUGAGGUAGGUCCAUGAGGGGAAGUUUAAAACUAAGGGUGGACUCAAGGAGAAAAAUGUUUGUUUCUCUAGUUUAUACUGUCAUUUACAAGAUGCUGUAAAAUUCAUGCUCUUCUUUCUUUAUCCUUUCCGCAGCUCUGACAAUUCCUCUUUCCCAUUCAAUAUUCCUCAAGACUCCUCUUCCCUCCUCAAAAACCCCAAACCCUCCCCCAACAAACAAACAAGAAAAAUAUUUUUAAUUUCUUUUUUUUUAUUCACCUGAAUUUGCAGACCCUGGUCUUACAUUCAAGUUAAGCAGCCCUGUUGCAUUAUCAUUGGUAAUCCCUUUAGAUUUUCCCUUAACAUCUCAAUGAAAUUCUCUCAUAAAUCCCCUUCUUUGCUGACCAAGUGCUGUGCAGUUGCUGAUUUUGCAAGAUACGUGCUAAUGUAAAGAAUGUCUCCUUUGAGUCUCUUUAUCAUUUGGUUGCUUCCUGCUCCAUCUUCUCCAUAUUUAUGUCCUUAUCAAAGCUGCACACAGUAUUUCAAAUGAGCCUCAGUGUUCUUCCUGCCAUGCCAAAAUAUUGACUGUAAUCCGAUAGUUGAUUUCAAAAUUGGUUUGGGAGCUUCUUUUUCUCCUUGUGGUCAAAAUAGCUUGCCUUGUAAAUGCCAGAAUAUAUUUUUUGCAGAUUAGGAUUUUUUUUUUUUUAAACAAGGGACAACAUCGAAUGCUUUCCGGAAAGGUGUUUGAAUUCUUUGGAUAGCCUGCUUCAGCCAUUAACAUUUUCCUUUGCAGUUUAACCUCACGGAUUUGCAGGACAGUUUCCCUGCUGAAAAUUUCUGCUGAUUUCUUUGUAAUUAAACAUAACUUUCUUAGCAAUUCUUACAUUCAAGCUAUGGCUUAGAGCUUCAAAACACUUUUCCCUCACUGUUGAAAUCAUGAAGUAUGUGGUCUCCCACAUCUUUUCUAAAAGCCUCUCUUAAUAGAGAAGAAGCCUUCACAGCUUCUGUCCUAUUCAGCUGUUGCCACUGAUAAUUUCAAAGACAUAUUCACAGACUCGGCUCUGCAUCAGGCAGCUGUUCUGUGGUUACUGCGUGUUUGUGUGAGGACUGGUGGCUCCGUAUCUCCUUUCAAGUUCCCACUUGCUUGUAGAAUUGUCUGUUUGAGAAAGGCUUUCUGCUCUCUCUCCAGCACAGCAUGUUUCCUGUUUUCCUUGGGCGGGCUCUGUCCUGUAAUCAUUUUUCCAUCCUAGUUCCUUCUAGGCUGAUUUACUUAACUGUUUUGCUGCCUUCUCUGUGUCAAAAUUUGCAUUUCUGCAGUAAGACUUGGGGUGUUUAUUCAAGUAAGUAUAGCAUGUUUCACUUCUGUCUCAUUCCUGUCAUUUCCCUUUACCCCAUUUAUCUCGACACGUGCCACAUCCUUCCAGACCUGAGACCUGAAACCUCAGUUCUGCUUUUCUAAGUGCUUGGAUUGACAUCAAGAUGAUUUAUAAAGCGUUUUCCUCCCAGGACCACGGGCCAGUGACACCAUCAGGUUGGCAGCUUCUGAACUGUCUACCUGGACUUGCCUAUUGAUGACGGCCCCUGCCUGAUGCUGCUCAUCCCGUGUGCCAUCCAGGAAGCCCUGGUUUAUAAGCCAGUCAUUUACCAUGAGCUUCAUUUCAGUCAUCAUUGCAUGAUGUGCCUUUGGCACAUUUUGGAUUCACAUUCAUAGACUGCAGUCACCCGUAAUUAAAUUCUACCUCUGUUGCAUGAAUUAUUUUAUCUGGUCAUAUUUAAUUCACCUCCUUCUUCUUUUGGAAAUCUCUGGUGAGCUUCAGGCUUCAUCCAGUGGAUCUUUUGUCUAUCUCUGAAGCUGAAGCUAGAUUGAUUACACAUUGUAGCCUUUGAAUACUUUGUGCUAGUCCUCACACCAGGAAUAAAAAGCAACCUACUACCAA